CGGAGGGCGCGAGCGUUGUCCGGAAUCACUGGGCGUAAAGGGCGCGUAGGCGGCUCGAUAAGGCUUGCGUGAAAGUCCGGGGCUCAACCCCGGAUCGGCGCGGGCGGACUGUUGGGCGUGGAGCACGGUAGGGGCGAGACGGAAUUCCGGGUGGUAGCGGUGGAAUGCGUAGAGAUCCGGAAGAACACCGGUGGCGAAGGCGGUCUGCUGGGCCGGAAGGGGGCGAGAGCAAUCUGUCCCCGUGCUGACGCUGAGGCGCGACAGCGUGGGGAGCAAACAGGAUUAGAUACCCUGGUAGUCCACGCCGUAAACGAUGGGCACUAGGUGCCCGGGGGAGCGACCCUCCGGGUGCCGGCGCUAACGCAUUAAGUGCCCCGCCUGGGGAGUACGGCCGCAAGGCUG
rnacentral:rRNA from 1 species